GAUUUCCAUUGGAAUUUUUAUGGUUUCUCAUUCUCUGCUGAAAUCCUUCAUCUUGUAAUUGUAUUUCUUGAACAUCUUAAUUGGACAUAAAAGAGUAUUUGAGAUCAGCAAGACUGAAGCUCUACAAAGACUGAUAUUUGAAACAUGGCCACUGUGACCUACUUAUAACCAUGUGUCAACUUUAACACCGGAUUCCAAAAACAAGGCACAAUGUGAGAUGAAAUGAUAAUCAAAGUGGAUUACUGGAGGUUUGCUUGGAAUCCUGGUCUUCCAUGUGGACAUCGUUUUUUGGGGACAGCAUC